UACGUAGGGUGCAAGCGUUAAUCGGAAUUACUGGGCGUAAAGCGUGCGCAGGCGGUUGUGCAAGACCGAUGUGAAAUCCCCGGGCUUAACCUGGGGAAUGGCAUUGGUGACUGCACGGCUAGAGUGUGUCAGAGGGGGGUAGAAUUCCACGUGUAGCAGUGAAAUGCGUAGAGAUGUGGAGGAAUACCGAUGGCGAAGGCAGCCCCCUGGGAUAACACUGACGCUCAUGGCACGAAAGCGUGGGGAGCAAACAGG
rnacentral:rRNA from 1 species